AACGAACGCUGGCGGCAUGCCUAACACAUGCAAGUCGAACGAGACCUUCGGGUCUAGUGGCGCACGGGUGCGUAACGCGUGGGAACCUGCCCUUAGGUUCGGAAUAACUCCCCGAAAGGGGUGCUAAUACCGGAUAAUGUCUUCGGACCAAAGAUUUAUCGCCUUUGGAUGGGCCCGCGUUGGAUUAGCUAGUUGGUAGGGUAAAAGCCUACCAAGGCGACGAUCCAUAGCUGGUCUGAGAGGAUGAUCAGCCACACUGGGACUGAGACACGGCCCAGACUCCUACGGGAGGCAGCAGUGGGGAAUAUUGUACAAUGGGCGAGAGCCUGAUCCAGCAAUGCCGCGUGAGUGAUGAAGGCCUUAUGGUUGUAAAGCUCUUUUACCCGGGAUGAUAAUGACAGUACCGGGAGAAUAAGCUCCGGCUAACUCCGUG
rnacentral:rRNA from 1 species